CCUACGGGUGGCAGCAGUGAGGAAUAUUGGUCAAUGGGCGCGAGCCUGAACCAGCCAAGUCGCGUGAGGGAAGACGGUCCUAUGGAUUGUAAACCUCUUUUGUCGGGGAGCAAAGUACGCCACGCGUGGCGUUCCGAGAGUACCCGAAGAAAAAGCAUCGGCUAACCCCGUGCCAGCAGCCGCGGUAAUACGGAGGGGGCAAGCGUUAUCCGGAUUUACUGGGUGUAAAGGGAGCGUAGACGGGGAUGCAAGUCGGAAGUGAAAGGCUGGGGCCCAACCCCCGGACUGCAUUGGAAACUGGAGGGCUGGAGUGCAGGAGAGGUAAGCGGAAUUCGUAGUGUAGCGGUGAAAUGCGUAGAUAUUAGGAGGAACACCAGUGGCGAAGGCGGCUUACUGGACUGUAACUGACGUUGAGGCUCGAAAGCGUGGGGAGCAAACAGGAUUAGAUACCCCUGUAGUC
rnacentral:rRNA from 1 species